UACGUAGGGUGCAAGUGUUGUCCGGAAUUAUUGGGCGUAAAGAGCUCGUAGGCGGUUUGUCGCGUCUGCUGUGAAAACUCGGGGCUUAACCCCGGGCCUGCAGUGGGUACGGGCAGACUAGAGUGCGGUAGGGGAGACUGGAAUUCCUGGUGUAGCGGUGAAAUGCGCAGAUAUCAGGAGGAACACCGGUGGCGAAGGCGGGUCUCUGGGCCGUAACUGACGCUGAGGAGCGAAAGCGUGGGGAGCGAACAGG
rnacentral:rRNA from 1 species